rfam:Dipodomys ordii contig_37776, whole genome shotgun sequence.
GGGAAGGUGGCUCAGUGGUAAGAGCGCUUGCCUUGCAUGCCUGAGGCCCUGGGUUCGAUUCCCAGCCCACAUA